rnacentral:rRNA from 1 species
CCUACGGGUGGCUGCAGUGGGGGAUAUUGCACAAUGGGGGGAACCCUGAUGCAGCGACGCCGCGUGGGUGAUGAAGCGCCUCGGCGCGUAAAGCCCUGUCAGCAGGGGAGUAAAUGGCGGUACCUGAAGAAGAAGCCCCGGCUAACUACGUGCCAGCAGCGGCGGUACUACGUAGGAUGCGGGCGUUAUCCGGAUUUAUCGGGUUUAACGGGUGCGUAGGCGGGCUUUUAAGUCAGCGGGAAAAAUUCGGGGCUCAACCCCGUCCGGCCGUUGAAACUGGGGGCCUUGAGUGGGCGAGAAGAAGGCGGAAUGCGUGGUGUAGCGGUGAAAUGCAUAGAUAUCACGCAGAACCCCGAUUGCGAAGGCAGCCUUCCGGCGCCCUACUGACGCUGAGGCACGAAAGUGCGGGGAUCGAACAGGAUUAGAUACCCCUGUAGUC